rnacentral:rRNA from 1 species
CCUUCGGGUCACAUGAGUGAGUGGCGAACGGGUGAGUAACACGUGAGAAACCUGCCCCGAAGACUGGAAUAACCCGAGGAAACUCGGGCUAAUACCGGAUAUCCCCACCAGGUCGCAUGGCCAGGUGAGGAAAUGCUCAGGCGCUUCGGGAGGGUCUCGCGGCCUAUCAGCUAGUUGGUGAGGUAACGGCUCACCAAGGCAACGACGGGUAGCUGGUCUGAGAGGACGAUCAGCCACACUGGGACUGAGACACGGCCCAGACUCCUACGGGAGGCAGCAGUGGGGAAUCUUGCGCAAUGGGCGAAAGCCUGACGCAGCCACGCCGCGUGAGGGAUGAAGGCUUUCGGGUUGUAAACCUCUUCCAGCAGGGACGAAAAUGACGGUACCUGCAGAAGAAGCUCCGGCCAACUACGUGCCAGCAGCCGCGGUAACACGUAGGGAGCAAGCGUUGUCCGGAUUUAUUGGGCGUAAAGAGCUCGUAGGCGGUUCGGUAAGUCGGGUGUGAAAACUUGAGGCUCAACCUCAAGAGGCCACUCGAUACUGCUGUGACUGGAGUCCGGUAGAGGAGUGUGGAAUUCCUGGUGUAGCGGUGAAAUGCGCAGAUAUCAGGAGGAACACCGACAGCGAAGGCAGCACUCUGGGCCGGUACUGACGCUGAGGAGCGAAAGCAUGGGAGCGAACAGGAUUAGAUACCCUGGUAGUCCAUGCCGUAAACGUUGGGCACUAGGUGUGGGGUCUAGCUAACAGAUUCCGUGCCGCAGCUAACGCAUUAAGUGCCCCGCCUGGGGAGUACGGCCGCA